rnacentral:misc_RNA from 1 species
UUCGUUUCUCUUUCUUCAGAUGAUGAUCCCAAGCCUUCUGGCGGUCUACGCAAGUAAGCUCUCAUCAAAAGCUUUAAGGAAAGCUCUUUGUUUUUUGAAAUGAUGCUUUUAUGAGAUAGAGCUUUUUUAGAUAAUGCUUUUUUAGAUAAUGCUGGGGAAGGUUUUCCGGUUUAUCUCGGAGGGCUUGUAGCUCAGUUGGUUAGAGCGCGC